rnacentral:rRNA from 1 species
AUUGAACGCUGGCGGCAGGCCUAACACAUGCAAGUCGAACGGUAACAGGAAACAGCUUGCUGUUUCGCUGACGAGUGGCGGACGGGUGAGUAAUGUCUGGGAAACUGCCUGAUGGAGGGGGAUAACUACUGGAAACGGUAGCUAAUACCGCAUAACGUCGCAAGACCAAAGAGGGGGACCCUCGGGCCUCUUACCAUCGGAUGUGCCCAGAUGGGAUUAGCUUGUUGGUGGGGUAACGGCUCACCAAGGCGACGAUCCCUAGCUGGUCUGAGAGGAUGACCAGCCACACUGGAACUAAGACACGGUCCAGACUCCUACGGGAGGCAGCAGUGGGGAAUAUUGCACAAUGGGCGCAAGCCUGAUGCAGCCAUGCCGCGUGUAUGAAGAAGGCCUUCGGGUUGUAAAGUACUUUCAGCGGGGAGGAAGGGAGUAAAGUUAAUACCUUUGCUCAUUGACGUUACCCGCAGAAGAAGCACCGGCUAACUCCGUG